CAUCUUGGGGCGACGGCCAGAAGUCCAGGGCUAGGAGCCUCAGCCGGCGGACGCCAGGAAACAGCAGUUACUGAUGCUACAAUAUUCCUUUAUGAAGCCAAGAACUGAACCAAAAUACAAACAACAUAAACUACCACUUGAUGAGAAGAACUUCAAAGUCAAAUUGCAAAAGGUGACUAAAAAAGGGGAGUACUUUCAGCCGUUUUCAAAAUAAUCUAUGAUAUGUACUGGAAAACUUCUAAUAAUCCUUGUCAUUUUACAACUUUCCCACAGUUAGAUCAUCAGCAAAUGUCACUUGGAUCCCUAGCUAAAUUGUUCUUCCCAGAAAAUAGUUAUCUCCACUAUGGAAAGUAUUUUAUCAGAAGAAUUCGUAGAAGUAGAAUCUGUUUGUCUUCAGUUAAACAAAAGAAGAACCUCAUUGCUUUCCAACUGGGCCCCGGCCAUUUUCCAGUUGAAACAUCAAAUAUUUUAUUUGUGUCUUUCACUGCCAAUUAAAGGGCAACAGAAAUGGUACAGGCUCCCUCUGCAGUGGAAUUACCCUUAUGUCUUUUCUGUCUAUGCUGAUCCACCUGAUCUUGAACUGGUGCUAUUCCAUGGGGAAAAUUGGAACAUGGGGCAAUUAACACUUUCUCCACUUUAUCCCAUCAACAGGAAAUUGAAAUAUAACCAACUAACUCAGGAGACAUCAUGGAAGAUGUCACACAGUGAAUGAUGAUGAAGCAGAAUUUUUAAAAUGUGUAGGAUUACGAGAAGUGGGGUCAUUUUUCUUUGUGUAUGGUAUUGCUGAUGCAGUUUAAUGCUCCAUUACUUCUAAAUUUUCAUCAUAAGCUAGAUUUUCCAGUUGUGGUUUCUAUAAAGAAAAACAAACAUUCUGAAGACAGUUUUUCCAGAUUUAUUCCAGAUAUCGAUGAUUAACUUUUGAAGCUCCUCUGUUGAUUUGAACAUCCGCUGAAGCUUAUUUUUCACCUCAGAAUAGCAUCAACAUUAUUUGAAAUUCAAUUGUACUUUCUCGUUACAUUAAUAAAUCAUGGAAGUUGA
rnacentral:lncRNA from 1 species